AUGGGGAAGAGCUGCUGUGCUAUCGACUGCACUAAUAGAUUUGCAAAGGGGUCGGAGCAAAGUUUCUAUAGGCUACCGAAAGCAGCAGAAAAGAGACGGCGAUGGAUCACUGCGAUCCGGAGAGACAGCUGGUAUCCAGGCACCGAGACCUGGAUCUGCGGUUCACAUUUUGUGUCAGGAAAAAAGAGUGAUGAUCCUCUACACCCUGACUAUGUGCCGAGUUUAUUCAGCUUCACCUCUACUGCUGAUCGGACUCGGGCUGUCAACCACCUGGAGAGAUAUGUGCGAACUCAAAACGUUUCUGGCAAAAGACAUGAUGGGCUAACUGCAACAGACAGAAGUACUGCGUCAGAGCAAGAAUUACAGGUAGAUCAAGGAGAUAAUAACACAAUACAAUACAUUUUACAGCAUAAGACAUCAGAGUCUCCUGAACACUUUCUGAACUCCUGACCAUUGACUUCAGCUAUUUCUUCACAACAGGUACAAACUGAAACUGGAGUCCAAGGCACUGAGGUCCAGACAGAGGAGACACACAA
rnacentral:lncRNA from 15 species